GCUUUAGUCGAAUGUCGUAGCAACAAUUCUUAGAGCUGGCAGUCCCAAAACAGUGUGGAGAGAGCGGCAAGACAGGCUGAAAUGUCUAGAUGGCACCCGGAGGUAUUAGCAGCAGGGAAUAUGAGGCAGAGAAUCUGCUCCAGCAGCAGCGCAGACGCCAAAAGCCGCCAGCUUCUCCCCGGAGCGCCGCAGUGAGCGUCU
ensembl:misc_RNA